CCUUGGGAGUGUUAAGAAAAUACGAGUAGAGAUUUCAUCUCAAAAGUAAACACGUUGAAUAAGGAA
rnacentral:ncRNA from 1 species